CGACGACAAGGUUGCUCGAGCUCACGUUCUGGUACUGAUCAUAACUUGAACUGAUUGUCCUUGAACACUGAACAUCUUUCAUGGAGGAAGAAGCACCCGAAAAUCCGGAAGACGUUAAAAAGACAAAUGAAGA